rnacentral:rRNA from 1 species
UACGAGAGGUCCAAGCGUUAGUCGGAAUCACUGGGCUUAAAGGGUGCGUAGGCGGGCCAGAAAGUGUCUUGUGAAAGCCCCCGGCUCAACCGGGGAACCGCAGGGCAUACUGCUGGUCUUGAGGUAGGUAGAGGCCGGUAGAACGAUCGGUGGAGCGGUGGAAUGCGUAGAUAUCGAUCGGAAUGCCAAAGGUGAAGACAGCCGGCUGGGCCUUACCUGACGCUGAGGCACGAAAGCGUGGGGAUCAAACAGG